UCGAGAAUCUUUCGCAAUGGGCGCAAGCCUGACGAAGCGACGCCGUGUGAACGAAGAAGGCCUUCGGGUUGUAAAGUUCUUUCGCCGGGGAACAAGGGAGAUAGGAUAAUACCCUAUUGACUUGAUGGUACUCGGUAAAGAAGCACCGGCUAACUCCGUGCCAGCAGCUGCGGUAAUACGGAGGGUGCAAGCAUUGAUCGGAAUUACUGGGCGUAAAGGGCGCGUAGGCGGCUGAUCAAGUCAGAUGUGAAAUUCCAGGGCUCAACCCUGGAGCUGCAUUUGAAACUGACCAGCUAGAGUACAGUUAGGGUAAACGGAAUUCCACGUGUAGCGGUGAAAUGCGUAGAUAUGUGGAAGAACACCGGUGGUGAAGACGGUUUACUGGGCUGUUUCUGACGCUGAGGCGCGAAAGCAUGGGUAGCAAACAGG
rnacentral:rRNA from 1 species